UUAUGCUGAGAAAUAUGCGGAGGAUCAGGAUGCAUUUUUCAAGGAUUAUGCUGAAGCUCAUGCUAAACUUAGCAAUCUGGGUGCCAAAUUUGAUCCUCUUGAGCCAGGGUAUCUCAAUAGAUGAUGACUCAAAAAGAGCAGCACCGGAGCAAUUUGUGGAAGCAAAGUAUUCUUCUUGUGAAAAGAAGCUGGUCAAAAAAGCUUGCUAAAAAAAUAGGGAUGUUGAAGCACUAAAAAAAUGAACAAAAAUAAGAAGCUGGUCAAAAAGCUUGCUAAGAAGUACCGUGCUUUCCUAGCAUUGGAGGCGAUCAUGUAUAUUGACAUUUGUUCUAUGUGAAGCAGAUAGUAUUUUCGGGCAAAUCCAUAUGUAAAUUUGGAUGAUUUGACUUGUAUUCCUUGUCUUUGUAAAGAUUAAAUACUUUUUGAAUAUUGCUGGUAUUAGAUGAAUGAACAAAUAACUUGUAUUCUUUAUGUU